GUGAAUCAUCGAAUUUUUGAACGCAAAUUGCACUCUCUGGCAUUACGGAGAGUAUUCCUGUUUGAGGGUCAGAUUAAAUAAAAAUCGAGGGGUUGCUGUUUUGUGUCCCAUCGGAAUUGGGUUAUCUUUGACCUUUUAAAAAGUGUAAGUGACAUAAAAUUGAUACCUUGUGCAACUCAGACGUACAUAAGAAUAUUAUUUUAUCAGUCUAGAGUUGCCAACUUUUUAUGAGGUAUGACUAUGCUGUUUGUGACAUCGUACCUAUAAUUUACUC
rnacentral:misc_RNA from 1 species